AACCCAUGGUGAAGGAACAUUAUUAAUAAAUCAUUGCAUCUCUCCCAUGCAUCAUAUAAGGUCUCUAACUCGAUCUGCACAAAAGAAGAGAUGUCAUUCCUCAACUU
rfam:Gossypium raimondii chromosome 8, whole genome shotgun sequence.